rnacentral:rRNA from 1 species
ACGCUGGCGGCGUGCUUAACACAUGCAAGUCACGGGGGCUCGUAGCAAUACGAGCAACCGGCGAACGGGUGCGUAACACGUGAGCAAUCUGCCGAUUUCUGGGGGAUAGCCGGCCCAACGGCCGGGUAAUACCACAUACGCUUCAUGAGGGGAGUCCCUCGUGAAGGAAACCUCCGGGGGAAAUCGAGGAGCUCGCGGCCUAUCAGCUAGUUGGCGGGGUAAUGGCCCACCAAGGCUCUGACGGGUAGCUGGUCUGAGAGGAUGGCCAGCCACAUUGGGACUGAGAGACGGCCCAGACUCCUACGGGAGGCAGCAGUGGGGAAUCUUGCGCAAUGGCCGAAAGGCUGACGCAGCGACGCCGCGUGGGGGAUGAAGGUUUUCGGAUCGUAAACCCCUGUUGCCCGGGACGAAACCUGGUUUUCGAGCCAGUUGACGGUACCGGGUGAGGAAGCACCGGCUAACUCCGUGCCAGCAGCCGCGGUAAUACGGAGGGUGCGAGCGUUGUCCGGAAUCACUGGGCGUAAAGGGCGCGUAGGCGGCUGGGGCAGUCGGUGGUGAAAGCUCGUGGCUCAACUGCGAGUCGGCCAUCGAUACUCCUCGGCUCGAGUCGACUAGAGGCAGAUGGAAUUCCGGGUGUAGCGGUGGAAUGCGUAGAGAUCCGGAAGAACACCGGUGGCGAAGGCGGUCUGCUGGGGUCGAACUGACGCUGAUGCGCGACAGCGUGGGGAGCAA